rnacentral:lncRNA from 1 species
UUCAUACCCGUCUCAGGGCUUUCAUGAGCAGUCUCAAAUGGUGGGGCCCCCUCUGGGAGAAGAGGGCAGACGUGGCCAUCCCUGUGUCAUAGAUGAGAAAAGCUCUUGUUAUGCGCACAGCCUCCCACACUCACGUGCCCUCUGCCUGUUGCACACACAGGAGCGUUCCCUCACACAGCCCCACUCCUCUCCCCACACACUUCCUCCAGCUCCUUCCCCUGCUGCUCCUUCCCCUGGCUGUCUCAGCCUACUCUCCUCUCCUUCUCAGCCCUUCUCUCACACUUUCCUAUGUGGACACGUGUGAUCCUUCACACCCACACUCAUUACCCUAACACUCAUUUGGCACCCCAUACACAUGCCCACUGUGUCACGCGCAUACCAGCUAUGCCAGCUAUGCACUCCUGGUCUGUAGACCCCUCCAGACGACUCACACCCUUG